rnacentral:rRNA from 1 species
UCUGUGAACAGGUGCUGCAUGGCUGUCGUCAGCUCGUGCCGUGAGGUGUUGGGUUAAGUCCCAUAACGAGCGCAACCCUUAUCGUUAGUUGCCAGCGGGUAAUGCCGGGAACGUCUAGCGAAACUGCCGGUGUAAACCGAGAGGAAGUGGGGAUGACGUCAAGUCCUCAUGGCCCUUAUGGGUAGGGCUUCACACGUCAUACAAUGGUCGGUACAGAGGGUUGCCAAGCCGCGAGGCGGAGCCAAUCCCACAAAGCCGAUCGUAGUCCGGAUUGUUCUCUGCAACUCGAGAGCAUGAAGUCGGAAUCGCUAGUAAUCGCAGGUCAGCAUACUGCGGUGAAUACGUUCCCGGGUCUU